AGUGAACGCUGGCGGUAGGCCUAACACAUGCAAGUCGAACGGCAGCACAGUAAGAGCUUGCUCUUACGGGUGGCGAGUGGCGGACGGGUGAGGAAUACAUCGGAAUCUACUUUUUCGUGGGGGAUAACGUAGGGAAACUUACGCUAAUACCGCAUACGACCUACGGGUGAAAGCAGGGGAUCUUCGGACCUUGCGCGAUUGAAUGAGCCGAUGUCGGAUUAGCUAGUUGGCGGGGUAAAGGCCCACCAAGGCGACGAUCCGUAGCUGGUCUGAGAGGAUGAUCAGCCACACUGGAACUGAGACACGGUCCAGACUCCUACGGGAGGCAGCAGUGGGGAAUAUUGGGCAAUGGGCGCAAGCCUGAUCCAGCCAUGCCGCGUGGGUGAAGAAGGCCUUCGGGUUGUAAAGCCCUUUUGUUGGGAAAGAAAAGCAGCGGGUUAAUACCCCGCUGUUCUGACGGUACCCAAAGAAUAAGCACCGGCUAACUUCGUG
rnacentral:rRNA from 1 species